CCUACGGGUCGCACCAGUGGGGAAUAUUGCACAAUGGGCGCAAGCCUGAUGCAGCCAUGCCGCGUGUGUGAAGGAGGCCUUCGGGUUGUAAAGCACUUUCAGCGAGGAGGAAGGUGGUGAACUUAAUACGUUCACCAAUUGACGUUACUCGCAGAAGAAGCACCGGCUAACUCCGUGCCAGCAGCCGCGGUAAUACGGAGGGUGCGAGCGUUAAUCGGAAUUACUGGGCGUAAAGCGCACGCAGGCGGUUUGUUAAGUCAGAUGUGAAAUCCCCGGGCUCAACCUGGGAACUGCAUUUGAAACUGGCAAGCUAGAGUCUCGUAGAGGGGGGUAGAAUUCCAGGUGUAGCGGUGAAAUGCGUAGAGAUCUGGAGGAAUACCGGUGGCGAAGGCGGCCCCCUGGACGAAGACUGACGCUCAGGUGCGAAAGCGUGGGGAGCAGACAGGAUUAGAUACCCUGGUUC
rnacentral:rRNA from 1 species